UACGAAGGGGGCUAGCGUUGCUCGGAAUCACUGGGCGUAAAGCGCACGUAGGCGGCUUUGCAAGUCAGAGGUGAAAGCCCGGGGCUCAACUCCGGAAUUGCCUUUAAGACUGCAUCGCUAGAAUUGUGGAGAGGUAAGUGGAAUUCCGAGUGUAGAGGUGAAAUUCGUAGAUAUUCGGAAGAACACCAGUGGCGAAGGCGACUUACUGGACACAUAUUGACGCUGAGGUGCGAAAGCGUGGGGAGCAAACAGGG
rnacentral:rRNA from 1 species